ensembl:lncRNA
CACAAGUCUAUUUAUUUGCCAGUACCAUUGCUAUUUUCUAUCACGGUAGUUUUGUAGUAUAACUUCAAAUCAAUGAUUGUGAUGCCCUCUUCCUUACCCUUGCUGCCCAGAAUUCCUUUCGCUAGUCUGAUUCCAUAUGAAUUUGAGGAUUGUUUUCUCCAGUUCUGUGAGGAAUGCUAUUGGUAUUUUGAUUGGGAUUGCAUUAAAUCUGUACAUCAUAGGUUUCAAUCACAAAUAGGUGUUGGACUUUGUCAAGUGCUUUUGUUGUGUCUAUUGAGAUGAUCAUGUGGUUUUUGUUGUUGGUUCUGUUAAUGUGGUGUAUUACAUUUAUUGAUUCAUGUAUGUUCAACCAUCCCUGCAUCCCGGGUAUGAAUCUUAAUUGGUCAUGGUAUAUAAUCCUUUUGAACAUUUACUGCACUCUGUUUGCUAGUAUCUUAUUGAGGAUUUGUGCAUCUAUGUUCACUAGGGAGAUUGGCCUGCAGUUCUCUUUUCUGGUCGGGUCUUUCUCUGGUUUUAGUAUCAGGGUAAUUCUUGCUUCCAGGAAUGAAUUUGGGAGUAUUCCUUUGCUUUCAAUUUCAUCAAAGAGUUUGAAAGGUAGUAGCAUUAGAUCUUCUCUAAAGUUCUUGAAGAAUUCAGCACAGCAUCUCUUAGUAAUUAGGCUUUUCUUUGUUGGUAGCAUUUUUAUUAUUAUUUCUUCAAUUUCAUUGAUUGAUAUUGGACUAUUUAAAAUUUUUAUAUCUUCUUGAUAUCAGCUUUGGUAAUUCCUAUGUAUCUAGGAACUUGUCCUUCUCUUUGAAUUAUCUAUCUUGUUAAGGUACAGGAUCACAAAGUAGGUACUGAUGAUCUGGAUUUCUGCAGGAUCUAUUGUGAUUUCACCCUUUUCUUUCCUAAUUGCAUGGAUUUGGGUCUUUUCUUUCCUUGUUUUGAUGAGCUUACCUAUUUUAUUUAAUCUUUCAAAGAACUAACUCUUUCAUUCUUUUAUUGUUUUCUUUGUCUCAAUUGCAUUAAUUUUGGUCUCAUCUUUUUUUUAAAAAUUCAGGAAAGGAAUUAUGGCUUUAAAUUUAUCUUUACAAUUCCAGUAUUUUUGCACCUCUGUCUAACCUUUUCCUAGCAAUCAAAUCAUAUUUUAAAAUCUAGCUUGUGAAGUAAACUUUACGUAAUAAAAGACAUUAGAAACAGUAUGAGAAUGAUUGAAUUCACUGUUUUCUCUCAAGUAAUAUUUCCCUCUAUUUUUGAUGCAAAAAUUAAAAAUGUGGAUUUAAACUGAAACCUCAUACUUUGUGCCAAGGGAUUGAUGGAGGAAAAGUACUUUACAUGGAUGCCAAUCUAUCUUCCAGGAUUACUGGCUAACUUUGGGUACCCUAAUGUGUCAUUUCCUGCCCAUCUGCCUACUUUGUAAAACUGGUUUCAGCAGUCUAGCAUCCUAUAGUUGUAUCCUUUUCACCUUCCUACUCCUUUCUUCCAUAGGAGAAGGGCAAACUCAAAAUCACCUUUAGUGAUGUGAGGCCUUGCUGAGCUGCCGUCUUUUUCUGCCUACAUUUAGUAGCUUGGACUUUCUUCUGAGUUCUAACAGCACCCCAUGAGUUUAUGUCACAACACUCAUCUUAUCUUCCAUCUUCCCAUGUCACCAUGGCAAUGAGUGAGUUCUGGAGAACAGAGCUUUAUAUUUUUUCAUUGCUCCAUCAUCAAGAAGCCAUCAUUAGUGUGGUUCUUAAUAAAUGAGAGGUGGGCGUGGAAAUCAUAUUCAAAGAAGAGUACUAGAGUAAAAACGGUCCCUAAUCCUGACCAUUAAAUGACAUAUUCAAAUUAAAAUUGUGCAUUUGCUUCAGUGCCUUGUUUUGUUUUCCUCAUGCAAACCACAUACAGCAAAGUUUUCCAGGGUCGUCUGGCAUACCAAGUCCCUAAUUCUCCUCUGGAAAAUGUAAGAGAAGAGGAAGAGUUCCAUGUCCAAAACCUGGAGUUCACGCCAGGUCCAGCCAACACAGGUGUGUAGGGAAGGAAUCGGGCAGAGACCAACAAGCCUCUUCUCAGCUGCCCUCAUCCUCCUUUUCUCCUUCUCAAUUUGGAUUUUCUUAUAGAAGAAAUUGAGAAGCCCAACUUUUGUUCUUAUGCAAUUGAAAUAAUGUCAGAAAUCCAGAAGAUUAGAGUUUUCUGUAUGCAUGACAUUAUAUUAUUUCACAUCAUGGUUUCCCAAAUUAACAUUUUUACUAUCAAAAUAACCCUCAACAAGCCUUCAUCACAUUCUCUGUAUUUAUCCUUUAAUAUGUAUACUUAGACUAGGAACUAAGUUGAGAUCUGCUCUGUAACUGUAGCGGUGGCUCUGGAGAAUAUGAAGAAACUCUACCCAGUAGAGUGUCCUUCCCGUAAAGGUUGUGAGAGACAUUAACAAUCUUGUUAGAAAAUUUUCCUAGAAAAUGUAAGCAGAAUUGUGCACAAACUUGGAGAGACAUAAGUAAUGUGACCAUUCCUAGGCCAGGGUUCUUUCCAAAAGGUAAAAAUGGAGCAAAUCCUCUCACAAAAUAUAAUGACUUUAGAAGGACUAAAAAUUUUCCUCUAUCUCUCAGGCCAUCAUAGUUCUCUCAGAAUUCACACUGAGUAGUCUCUGAGGAAAGUCUUUGGUUUUCCAGGAAGCAAAAAGGGUACGUGUAAAGUUAAGUGGUCAUGCUGUGGAGAGAGCUGUUAUUAUUUUUCACGGGGAAUGAAGAACUUUGAAGACAGUAGGAAACUCUGCAAAAAAAGGACUCCACACUUGUUAAGAUAGAAGAUACACAGGAACUGAACUUUAUUCAAAGCCAAAUAUCUUAUUUCUCUUGGAUUGGGUUGUCCCGUGAAGGAACCAGCACACCCUGGACAUGGGAGGAUAAGUCACAACCCUCUCUUGAAAGGUUCAUUUUGACUUUAAGGAAGAGUCAGAAGUUGUAUGGUGCCAGUUCUGGUGAACAAGAUAAAUGAGGGCACACCAGUGUUUUUACAAGCCUGCCCUUGCAUUGGACAGUACUCACUCUGCAGCCGCAUUCACCAUACUUUUGACCACAUCGUGAAAGAGGACUUCCAGAACUUCUACAGAAAGUGGGAAGGACAAGAACGAUGGGAUAAGUGUAAUCAAAGGAAGGGGGAACAUUUUGAGGAGGACUAAUGGCAAAGUCUCUUUUACUGUAAUAAUAUUUUAAUUUAAAAUACACCACAGGUUUUGAUCACACCUUCUAUAAACAUGUACCAUUAUCUACCAUAUCCAAUGAAUACAUACAAGUAAUGUGUGUCAUUUCAAAACUACCAUUUGAAUUUAAAACUAAAUGUUUUAAACUUCAAAAAAUAGUUUGUGAUAUGAAUCUAUAAUGACCUGCACAGUUUAAAUAAAUUUCAGGAAGACAUGCUCCACCCCACAAAUAAUGAGGAAUGUUUCAUUUGACAAAAGAUACCCCCUUUAUUGGCAAAAUGAAACAGCUUGAUAACACACAGUAAAGAUGUAGGGAACCAGACACUUGUGAGCACUGGAAAAGAUAUGACAACUGCAGUGGAAAGUAGAAAUCAAAUAUCUAUUAAACUUAAAAUACAAAACUACAAAUUACAAUCCUAGAGAUUUAUCAUACCAAUAUCGCUAUGUCCAGUAAAAGUGUACAAAGUGUUGUUACAGUAUUUUUGCACAAAUGCAAAAUUCUGGAAUAAAUCUAAAUAGUCAUUGAAAUAAAACUAGUUGAGUAAAUUUUGGUACAUAUAUUACUAGUACAGUAUAAUGCUUACAAAUGUUUACAAAAAGUGAAGCAACUCCUUAUGUACUGACAAGAAACAAUCUGUAAGACUUAAAAGUUAAAAAGCAAGAUUAUUGUUUAUACUUAUGUAAUACAUGGUUUGCCAGGUAAUGUGUAUAUUUGUACAUUCAUACAGUAUCUCUGAAAUAUUACCUGACAAUAGAUAAUAGUUGUUUGCCUAUAACAAGGAGACUAGGUGAGUAAGCAACAAAAUAGGACAGGGCAAUUUGGUUUCAUAGCUCAUUGUUUUGUUCAUUUUAUAUUUUAAACAAUAUGAAUAUUACUUAUCUAUCAUAUAAAUUUAAUUAAAUUAUUAAGAAAAUAAAUAAGAUCUUUUAACCAAUCAAAAUAAAUUUCUUCCAUGUUUUCUCAUUUAUCAAUUCUUAACAUUUCAAAAUAU